rnacentral:rRNA from 1 species
GAUGAACGCUGGCGGCGUGCCUAAUACAUGCAAGUCGAGCGAACAGACGAGGAGCUUGCUCCUCUGACGUUAGUGGCGGACGGGUGAGUAACACGUGGAUAACCUACCUAUAAGACUGGGAUAACUUCGGGAAACCGGAGCUAAUACCGGAUAAUAUAUCGAACCGCAUGGUUCAAUAGUGAAAGACGGUUUUGCUGUCACUUAUAGAUGGAUCCGCGCCGCAUUAGCUAGUUGGUAAGGUAACGGCUUACCAAGGCAACGAUGCGUAGCCGACCUGAGAGGGUGAUCGGCCACACUGGAACUGAGACACGGUCCAGACUCCUACGGGAGGCAGCAGUAGGGAAUCUUCCGCAAUGGGCGAAAGCCUGACGGAGCAACGCCGCGUGAGUGAUGAAGGUCUUCGGAUCGUAAAACUCUGUUAUUAGGGAAGAACAAAUGUGUAAGUAACUAUGCACGUCUUGACGGUACCUAAUCAGAAAGCCACGGCUAACUACGUG